UACGUAGGGUGCGAGCGUUAAUCGGAAUUACUGGGCGUAAAGCGUGCGUAGACGGUUGCGUAAGUCGGGUGUGAAAGCCCCGGGCUCAACCUGGGAAUUGCAUUCGAGACUGCGCAGCUAGGGUGCGGAAGAGGGAAGCGGAAUUUCCGGUGUAGCGGUGAAAUGCGUAGAUAUCGGAAGGAACAUCAGUGGCGAAAGCGGCUUCCUGGUCCAGCACCGACGUUCAGGCACGAAAGCGUGGGGAGCAAACAGG
rnacentral:rRNA from 1 species